CGGUGGGCUAUGGGGAUAAUUCAACUUCCAGAGGCUUCCUCAUAAAUUUUUAGAAUUUUUGAGACACAGAUAAACUUCGGGUGAUCGAGGUCAGCUAUUUUUCUGCAUCCAGCAGCCACAAUAGUCAUCGGUGUACUGCCACAGGAGGAGUUAUUUUACAAAGCAACCUAUUUUCUUCCUCGCAGGUUUAACGUCGAUUAUUUAAUUGUUUUACUAUCUUUUCUAAAUUUAAAAUCUAGAACUCCGCAUGUGUUAGAAAUAGUG